AGCAGCCGCGGUAAUUCCAGCUCCAAUAGCGUAUAUUAAAGUUGUUGCAGUUAAAAAGCUCGUAGUUGAAUUUCGGGAUCAAUAUGUCUGUCGUGCCUUCGGUACGUACGGGUAUAAUUGGUUUCUACCUUCUGAUGAACCUUGAUGCCAUUAAUUUGGUGUCUUGGGGACUCAGGACUGUUACCUUGAAAAAAUUAGAGUGUUUAAAGCAGGCAUGCGCUUGAAUACAUUAGCAUGGAAUAAUGAAAUAGGACGUUCGAUUCUAUUUUGUUGGUUUCUAGGAUCGACGUAAUGAUUAAUAGGGAUAGUUGGGGGCAUUAGUAUUCAAUUGUCAGAGGUGAAAUUCUUGGAUUUAUUGAAGACUAACUACUGCGAAAGCAUUUGCCAAGGAUGUUUUCAUUAAUCAAGAACGAAAGUUAGGGGAUCGAAGACGAUCGGAUACCGUCGUAGUCUUAACCAUAAACUAUGCCGACUAGGGAUCGGAUGAUGUUAAUUUUUAAUGACUCAUUCGGCGCCUUAA
rnacentral:rRNA from 1 species